AAGUACGAAGCCGGCCACAAGAUUAGAUUUCUCAGGGUCGUUGUAGACUACGACGUUGAUAGGAUGCAGGUGUAAAGGUAGAGAUACCAAAGCCGAGCAUUACUAAUUGCCCGUCCACUUUCCUUA
rnacentral:rRNA from 1 species